GUUUUUAUUUUUCGAUUUUUCUCUUUACAAAAGGGGCAGAGAACUCGGGGUUUACAGGAAAGGGUCAUUUUUUCCCAACAAGUGGUAUCAGAAUGAGGUCGCCUAGCUUGAGGGGGGAAUCUUACUAUGCUCUGUGGUCGCAGCUUUGGCUGAUCUUCUACAUCAGAAAAUAUUUUCUAGUUCAAGAAGUUUGUAGGAGGGGAAGUUGGUGCAAUUGGAGUAUCGAGGCUUGUGGCGAAUUCUGGCGGUUAGAAUCAAGUCUGGUAGUGUGGAGGUACAUGUGUAGGUAAGCUCUGGCUUGGAAAGACUUGGUAAUUAAGUGGUCGCGCCGGACCCACUCUCUUUCCUGGGAACUUACCUGGUGUGCUGUUCACGAGCUACAGACGAGCAAGUGUUUU
rnacentral:lncRNA from 1 species